GACGAACGCUGGCGGCGUGCUUAACACAUGCAAGUCGAGCGGAAAGGCUCCUUCGGGGGUACUCGAGCGGCGAACGGGUGAGUGACACGUGAGUAAUCUGCCCUGUGCUCUGGGAUAGCCACCGGAAACGGUGAUUAAUACCGGAUAGGACCACUACAGGCAUCUGUUGGUGGUGGAAAGUUUUUUCGGCGCAGGAUGUGCUCGCGGCCUAUCAGCUUGUUGGUGAGGUAAUGGCUCACCAAGGCUUUGACGGGUAGCCGGCCUGAGAGGGUGACCGGUCACACUGGGACUGAGACACGGCCCAGACUCCUACGGGAGGCAGCAGUGGGGAAUAUUGGACAAUGGGCGGAAGCCUGAUCCAGCAACGCCGCGUGAGGGAUGACGGCCUCGGGUUGUAAACCUCUUUCAGUACCGACGAAGCGCAAGUGAUGGUAGGUACAGAAGAAGGACCGGCCAACUACGUGCCAGCAGCCGCGGUAAUACGUAGGGUCCGAGCGUUGUCCGGAAUUUAUUGGGCGUAAAGGGCUCGUAGGCGGUUUGUCGCGUCGGGAGUGAAAACACCGGGCUUAACUCGGUGCUUGCUUUCGAUACGGGCAGACUAUAGGUAUGCAGGGGAGAAUGGAAUUCCUGGUGUAGCGGUGAAAUGCGCAGAUAUCAGGAGGAACACCGGUGGCGAAGGCGGUUCUCUGGGCAUUACCUGACGCUGAGGAGCGAAAGUGUGGGGGAGCGAACAGGAUUAGAUACCCUGGUAG
rnacentral:rRNA from 1 species